rnacentral:sRNA from 1 species
AGUUCAAUACCUUCUUCUACAUGGUAUCA